UCUUAUGGAUGAGCAAAGAAAGUGGUUUCUUGAGGUGCAGUCUACUCCUGGUGACCAUGCUGUGAA
rnacentral:pre_miRNA from 4 species